rnacentral:rRNA from 1 species
UACGGAGGGUGCAAGCGUUAUCCGGAUUCGCUGGGGUUAAAGGGUGCGUAGGUGGGCAGGUAAGUCAGUGGUGAAAUCUCCGGGCUUAACUCGGAAACUGCCAUUGAUACUAUCUGUCUUGAAUACCGUGGAGGUCAGCGGAAUAUGUCAUGUAGCGGUGAAAUGCUUAGAUAUGACAUAGAACACCAAUUGCGAAGGCAGCUGGCUACACGAAUAUUGACACUGAUGCACGAAAGCGUGGGGAUCAAACAGG